CCGACGUCGACCUUCGACGCCAUCCUUGCCAUCCGGCCACCGUUCGGGCUGCAUGUGCUUCAUCUCAGUUGUGUUGGUGGAUGGAUUGACCGCAGCUAAACUAGAAUUGAUGGACGUCAAAUUCUGGUUCAGUGAAGAACAAGCACGACUUGAACCUAUUGUUAUUCAAUUUGUCUGAGUUGAUCAAAAGAUGAAUUGGACAAAGGGAGAUUGAAGGUGGAAUCAGGUCCUAGCUAUUGUAUUCUUGGUCAAGAAUAAGAAUUGAGGAUUCGGUUCUGUUAUGAUCAAUGUGAUAUUAAGGACAAGGAGAAAUCGCUGUAUUGGAAGAAAGGAAGUUAACUCACACACUGGGUGCUGCUGUGUUCUUUGACUGAGUGAAGACCAGGGAAUUGGGAUUUCUGCCUUGAUCCCUUUUGACACCGAAGGGACUCCAGUUACCCGAGGAGCAGAAGGCUCGUGGUUUUGGGAGUUCGCGAGGAAAGCCACGGAUUCCAAGUAGGGGACCCGGAACUCCCUUGAUUAAUGAUAUUUGUUUUAUAAAAUGUUUAUGCGUAUAUGAUAUUGCAUGAUCCGGUUAGCCGAUAAAAAUAUGGUAACCGAUGUUGUGAGAUAUUGAUGGCUUGAGAGUGAGAGGAGCAUAGUGACUACCUUGGGUUUGAUCCCCUAAACCUCCGGAGGGGCCUUCAUGGACGGAAGAGUGUCUUACAUCCUUUGUGGAGUGGCACUGCUUCUAGGCAAUAGGGCGUUUGUGGACACUCUCGCUACACUUACCUGUUGUACACAUAUAUAGUGAGGUAAGUUGGGUAGUGGGUCUAAAAAGAACCGGCCAUCAGUUACAGUUUUAUGGCGCCGCAUUUAUUUGAUCAUAGAAAUGUUUUUAAAAGUUUGUCGUUCAUUAAAUAUUUGGAUUCAAACUUGUUUUUAUACUAGGCCCUAUGAAACUAUUUCUUUAUCUGUUUCAAGAGUUCCUUGAGCAGCGAGGACGAAAGCUCACCCUUACAACAGUUUGUGGAUGCAGAUACUAUGCACUGGGACGGGAUAAUAGCGAGAAGUUGGGGUGUGCAUGUUUGGGAUUGGUAAUUUGUUUUU